AAGAAAGUCCUGCAGUGAGAUGGAGAUCUGUAAAUGAACAGUCUAAAGUGGUUUACUGAGUCACUGACGAAGUGAAUCUUAACUAAGACCAGAAGGACAGCUGGCAGGAAUAAGAGGCAAGGUGGUAUGCGGCAGGAAGAUGCUGGGAGGUGAGGCUGGCCCCAUAGCCACGGCCAGGCCAUACAGGGACUUUUGUGGUCCAAAGAACCACGCAGAGCUGUGAAAGGACGCAAGCAAGGAAUGACAGAUGGCACCUGUGCGUGGGAGAGGGCACUCUGCUGAAGCACUGCAGUGAGAGCAUGGGAUUAGGACACAUGACCAUGCCUUGGUCCGUGCCAGCAGAAUGGAGAUAUGAAAACAUGAAGGACCAGGAGGCUGUGCUGUUCGACCAAUAGCCCCAUUUGAGCAGUGGGAUACUAAGUCCUAUUGCAUCAUAGGACUAUUCUAUUCUUUGAUGUACUGGGUCAUCUCUGAGAAUCUACUUCGCCCUACGUCCUUCUCUCUUGGGAAUUUCACUGGAGACCAGUGUCCACUGAGCUCCUGCAAAGUACUCUGUACGGGCCCAGGCAUCCUGCGGGAGACAGGUGUUAUGCAUACUCAGCAUAUAAAUGGACCCGUGAAUACAAUGAGAUGGAUUUUCAGAAGAACAUUUAAGAGCAGGCUGAAACAAAGAGGCUCAUCUGAGUGCAACUGCCAGCAAUCUGGGCCCAUCAGCAGCCCACUGAGAGCCCACCAACAGCAGGGCUGAGCCUGCUGCUUCCCAGAUACAGCCAGGAGUAGGCACGCAGCAACCUCAGGGUUCCUCUGAGGGCGUCUCCACAGUCCUUCAGGAGAACAUAGCUUUGUUACUUUAUUGACAACAGAGACGGCUCAGAUUACACAAUUCAUUAUUCCAGUCCUGCACAUGUAUGUUUGAGAGCUGUGAACUUGUGGCACACUGCAGACUUUCUGUUUCUUUUGCAGUCCUUGACCUCC
rnacentral:lncRNA from 1 species